UUGCUGCUAACGAGCCAAUUCUUUGUCUUAUAUGGGAACAGAUUGCAAUUCUCUAUACUGGGUCACUGGAUGAUAGAUCUGAUGCGGCAGCUUCGCUGGUUUCGCUGGCAAGAGACAACGAUCGCUACGGGAAGCUGAUUAUUGAAGAGGGAGGGGUUCCGCCUCUGCUGAAAUUGGUCAAAGAAGGGAAAAUGGAAGGCCAAGAGAACGCCGCAAGAGCGAUUGGUCUACUGGGUCGUGACACGGAAAGCGUCGAAUACAUGAUCCACGCAGGUGUUUGCAUUGUGUUUGCGAAAAUACUCAAAGAAGGUCCUAUGAAAGUUCAGGCAGUAGUGGCUUGGGCUGUUUCUGAGCUCGCAGCGAAUUAUCCCACAUGCCAAGAUCUUUUUGCGCAGCACAAUAUCAUUCGGUUGCUAGUUGGUCAUCUUGCAUUUGAGACGGUUCAAGAGCAUAGUAAGUAUGCCAUUACUAGUCACAAAGCCACUUCGAUCCAUGCGGUUCUGAUGGCUAGUAAUAGUUCGCCUACUGCUCAUAAUGUGAUAAAUCCAACAGUUGAUGAUGAUCCGUGUCGAAUUCCUCAUCCUAUGGGUAAUCAG
rnacentral:misc_RNA from 1 species